AAGAAAAAGAAAGAGAAAGAAAGAAAAAGAGAAAAUAAAAGAAUCAGGCCUGGAACCCAGCGCAGAGUCCCUUCUUGUGUAACCCUGAGGUCCCUCACUGAGCUCCAGAGCAGUCUCUCACCCUCCCUCCCCUACCUCCUUCCACAUAAAUUUGCACCCUCUUUGAAAUCAGUGGCUUGUUUUCCCAGUCUUUCUGCCGGAAGUGUGAUGGCGACCCUGCUGCAGAGGUUUCACGGAGAGAAAGAGGGAGCAUCACAGCUCGGUAACCAAAAUGCAGUGUGAAAUGGUAGGAGACAGUUCACUCUUCAAGUCAUCAGGGAGACAUUUCACCUGGCACAAAGGCAGCUUACUUAGUGGACCAUAAUGGCCUGGAAGAGUUCCUGCCCCUCCCUGAAGUGAGCAAUUUCCUCUGUUCAGCUCUGUCUGCACUGGCCCAUUAUAUCCUAAACACACGGUGCGUUUACCUAGCAAUUAUCUGGAGUGGGAGCCAGCCCUUUCAAGAGGUCCUCUUUGAUCCUUCCUAGGAAUAUCCUGGGAGGUGGGUGGGCAGACGGAGGGCCUCUUGCUGGAGGAGGGAAAGUAAGGCACACAGAGGGUUCCAACAGUGUCCCGGAGUCAGGACUGGGUCUCUGGGACCCCUGGCCACCUAACCCCCACCCCUGCAUUCUGCCCUCUUGGACUUCGCUGCUGCCCUGGCAGGUAGAGGACUUUAAAGAAUCCCAGCUUGCUCCUCCCCAGGCCAGUGAAGGAGGUGCUUCUUAUUAGAGGUGGAUAAAGGUAAAGUGCCUGAGGAUCUUUGGGAUGGAAAAGCUUUUGUGCUCAUUCGAGGUCCUGGAUAUCUUGGAUGCCCUACGUUCAAAUGCUCUGUUCUACCUGCUUGACUCCCUGGAAGUGUUCGGGCUGUGGCUAGAGAGCCAACUGUUGAGGACAUCAUAAGAUUCUAAUGUGAAGACCUAUGGUUUCCUGAGAAUCUGCUAUGUGCCAGGCACUCUGCUAAAAGCCAGAGACAAUCAACACCAUAAGACAUGGCAAAAUAAAUGAACAAAUAAAUAAAAUAAAAGCCAGAGACAAAAAUUAAUGAUAUGAUUAUUAUUCCCCAAUAAUUACCUAAUAUCAAAUAAUGCUUACUUCGUACCAGACACCAUCCAAAGCAGUUUACAUACAUUAUGACAUUCCAUUCUCAAAAUAGUUAUGAGGGAAUGGUACUAUUACAUUCCUAUUUUCAUAAAUGACACACACCACUCAUACAUGUUGAAGUCUGAAGUUGAACCUGACAAAGGGUGUGUGCACCAGCACGGGGACAGAAGUGGAGGCUCACCUCACAGACCGUGGAGGCUUCUUCCCCGCUAGGACUCUAUCUCAUGCAGACUGCAAUCUUGACUCUGUAUUGAUUCAGCGGCAGCGCCUACAGAAAGGUCUGGGAGUGGGCGCACUGGACAUUGCAUGAAGGAGUUGGAUUAAAAGAACCAGUUGGCCCCACCAAUCUGGUAACUGUUUGGUCUUCAUAGGAUCUUCCUGAAGGCUGUACAACUUUGGUGUCCCAUAUGAUAGCCACUAGCCACAUGUGACUGUUGAGCAAUUGCAAUGUGGCUAGUCCAAAUGGAGAUGUGCUGGAAGUAGAAAUUACACAUUGGGUUAUGAAAAAAAAAAGUAAAAUGUAUCAUUUGUAGUUUUUAUAUUAAGGAUAUGCUGAAAUGGUAAUAUUCUAGGUAUAUUGGGUUGAAUAAAAUAUAUUAUUUAAAUAGUUUUAUUAAGACAUAAUGCACCAUUUAAGAUGUACACUCCCUUAUGCUUUUAGCAUAUUUACAGAGUUAUGCAUCCAUCACCACAAUCAAGUUUAGAACAUUUUCAUGACCUCAAGAAGGAACCUCGCACCCUUAGCUACCACUUCCCAGUCCUCUCAUCUCCCUGACCCCUUCUGCUAGGCAACCACUAAGCUGCUUUCUGUCUCUAUGGAUUUGUCUACUCUGGAGAUUUCAUGUGAAUGGAAUCAUAAAAUACGUGAUACUUUGUGCCUGGUUUCUUUCACUUAGAAUAAUGUUUUAAAAGUUCAUCCAUGUUGUAGCAUGUAUCAGUACUUCAUUCCUUUUUAUUGUGUAUAAUAUUCUGUUGUGUGGAUAUAUACCAAGUUUUAUUUAUUCAUUCAUUGUCAACGUUG
rnacentral:lncRNA from 10 species